rnacentral:tRNA from 1 species
UCCUGUGUAGCUCAGUUAGUAGAGCAUGGUGCUUGCAACGCUAGAGUUGUGGGUUCCAUUUCCACGCGGGAC